GUCUGCUUGGAGGUAUAAGAAGUCUAGCCUGCUCUCUGAUUAUUUAAAGGGCCGCGGUAAUCUGACCGUGCAAAGGUAGCAUAAUAGUUAGUUUUUUAAUUGGAAUCUUGUAUGAAUGGUUGGACAAAAGAAAUACUGUCUCUAUAAUUUUUAUUGAAUUUAACUUUUGAGUGAAAAGGCUUAAAUUUUUUAAAAAGACGAUAAGACCCUAUAAAUCUUUAUAAAUAAAUUCUGUUUGAUCAAAAUAAAGUUAAAGUUUUAGCGGUUUUUUUUAUUUUGUUGGGGAGACAAAUAUUAUAAUUUAUAUUAACUGUAAAUUUAAAAAACAAAUAUAAAUGUUUGAAGAAGUAAAUGAUCCUAUUUAAAGAUUAAAAGUUUAAGUUACUUUAGGGAUAACAGCGUUAUUUUUCUUGAGAGUUCAUAUCGAAAGAAAAGAUUGCGACCUCGAUGUUGAAUUAAAAUUUCUAAGUGAUUGCAGAAGUUGCUUUAGAAGGUCUGUUCGACCUUUAAAUUUUUACAUGAUUUGAGUUCAGACCGGCGUGAGCCAGGUUGGUUUCUAUCU
rnacentral:rRNA from 1 species